GAUGAAGAACGUAGCGAAAUGCGAUAAGUAGUGUGAAUUGCAGAAUUCAGUGAAUCAUCGAAUCUUUGAACGCACAUUGCGCCCUUUGGUAUUCCUUAGGGCAUGCCUGUUCGAGCGUCAUUUGAAACCUCAAGCUCAGCUUGGUGUUGGGUGUCUGUCCCCGCCUCACCGCGGGGACUCGCCUCAAAAUCAUUGGCGGCCGGUACGUUGGCUUCGAGCGCAGCAGAAACGAGAACUCGAGGCCCGGCGGAUCGGCGACCAGAAGUCACUUCUUCACAGUUUGACCUCGGAUCAGGUAGGGAUACCCGCUGAACUUAAGCAUAUCAAUAAGCGGAGGA
rnacentral:misc_RNA from 1 species